rnacentral:rRNA from 1 species
AUUGAACGCUGGCGGCAGGCCUAACACAUGCAAGUCGAGCGGUAGAGAGGUGCUUGCAUCUCUUGAGAGCGGCGGACGGGUGAGUAAUGCCUAGGAAUCUGCCUAGUGGUGGGGGAUAACGUUCGGAAACGGACGCUAAUACCGCAUACGUCCUACGGGAGAAAGCGGGGGGAUCUUCGGACCUCGCGCCAUUAGAUGAGCCUAGGUCGGAUUAGCUAGUUGGUGAGGUAAUGGCUCACCAAGGCGACGAUCCGUAACUGGUCUGAGAGGAUGAUCAGUCACACUGGAACUGAGACACGGUCCAGACUCCUACGGGAGGCAGCAGUGGGGAAUAUUGGACAAUGGGCGAAAGCCUGAUCCAGCCAUGCCGCGUGUGUGAAGAAGGUCUUCGGAUUGUAAAGCACUUUAAGUUUGGGAGGAAGGGUAGUAACCUAAUACGUUGCUACUUUGACGUUACCGACAGAAUAAGACACCGGCUAACUUACGUGCCAGC